rnacentral:rRNA from 1 species
AACGAACGCUGGCGGCGUGGAUAAGACAUGCAAGUCGAACGUGAUUUUUCCGAGUAGCAAUACCUGGUAAAGUUCAGUGGCGAACGGGUGCGUAACACGUGGGCAAUCUGCCUUAAAGUGGGGGAUAGCUCGGCGAAAGCCGAAUUAAUACCGCAUGUGAUUAGCCAGGACAUCUUGGCGAAAUCAAAGUUGGUGCAAGCUAACGCUUUUUGAGGAGCCCGCGGCCUAUCAGCUAGUUGGUGAGAUAACGGCUCACCAAGGCUUUGACGGGUAGCUGGUCUGAGAGGACGACCAGUCACACUGGAACUGAGACACGGCCCAGACACCUACGGGUGGCAGCAGUCGAGUAAUUUUUCUCAAUGGGGCAACCCUGAAGGAGCGACGCCGCGUGGAGGAUGAAGGCUUUCGGGUUGUAAACU